rnacentral:lncRNA from 1 species
AUGAUACAUCUCGCUACCCGAUGGUCUGACCAGCAUUUGGUGCCUCUCACAGAGUGGGUGUUGUACACAUCUUUAAUGUCUUUAGACUGUACUGUAUGCCUCCAUGUUGUCUUAUAUUUAUUGGCCUGUUGGAAAACUUUGUUGGUAAUAGUUAGACUGAACUCUGCACACUUGGAGAGAAGUAGUUGACCGUUGGAGUUUGACCUUCUAAUGCCGUGAUGGCCUAGCACCCUGUUCCGGGUGUCAGAGUUGGCUCACACUCGCGCACUAAAGUCGCCAAGGACAAUGAAUUUGUCCUGGUGUGGCACCCCUCUGACCUGCUGAGAUCUUCAUGAAACGCCUCCUUGGACUCUCACAGCUGUCUAUCAUGGGGAAAAUCCUUGCAUGGGUUGUUCUCAAUAGGCUCGUGUCUCAUCUAGUGGAUUUGGUGUGUCCAGAGUCACCAUGGGGUUUUCAUGCUGGCCGUGGCACCAAGGACAUGAUUUUUGCAGGCCAACAAACACAAGAGAAGGCUCGUGAACACAACAGAGAUGUGUACAUGGUGUUUGUUGACCUGCCCAAAGCCUUUGACAUGGUGAAUUGUGAGGGCCUAUGGAAACUCCUUCAUAAAUCUGGCUGCCCAGAGAAGCUGAUUGCUGUCAUCUGCGCAUUUCAUGACGGCAUGAUGGCCAGGGUGAUGGAGGGUGGUGGCUCAUCAGAAGCCUUCCCCGUCACCAAGGGCACCAAACAAGGAUGCGAAAUGGCUCCAGUUCUCUUUGCCAUUGUCUUUCCAGCCAUGCUCGUUUGCAUCCCAGGACUUGACAGAGGCGCACACAUCGGUUCAGAUUGGCUGGGCUCUAGCGACUCAGAUUCUGCACCAGGGCGAUCGAUGAGCCACUGGAAGAGCUCCUGUGUGCUGAUGACUGUGCCCUCAUUGCGCGCACACUCGAGGACAUUCAUCUUAUUGUGGGCGCUUUGCCUAGGCCUCAAAAUGCCUCGGUUCCACGCUCGGCCUGACAAAGACACAGGUCACGUCCCAGCCAGCCCCAGACCACCGGCAUCACAAGCACCUGAUCCCAUCGUCACAGCUGACAACACACCCCUCAAGUCAGGUGGGAAAUCCGUCUGCCUGCAUUGCACACUUCCCAGCAACGCCACGCUGGGUGAGGAGAUCGCUCAGCGCCAGGCGCAGGCCAGCUUGGCACUUGGCAGGCUCACCCACGGGCUCUGGAGGGAGCGUGGAGUCUGCCUCAGAACCAAGAGAAACAACCUACCAGGCUGUUGUACUCACCUCACUCCUCUACGGCUGUG